UCCCUGGUAACUCAGUAGGUAAAGAAUCUGCCUGCAGUGCAGGAGACCCAGGUUUGAUCCCUGGAUCGGGAA
rfam:TPA: Bos taurus chromosome 4, whole genome shotgun sequence.